UACAGAGGUCUCAAGCGUUGUUCGGAUUCAUUGGGCGUAAAGAGCGUGUAGGCGGUUAGGUAGGUCCGUUGUGAAAACUCGAGGCUCAACCUCGAGACGCCGAUGGAAACCAUCUAACUAGAGUCCGGAAGAGGAGAGUGGAAUUCCUGGUGUAGCGGUGAAAUGCGCAGAUAUCAGGAAGAACACCCGUGGCUAAGGCGGCUCUCUAGUACGGUACUGACGCUGAGACGCGAAAGCGUGGGGAGCGAACAGG
rnacentral:rRNA from 1 species